rnacentral:rRNA from 1 species
AACAGGAUUAGAUACCCUGGUAGUCCAUGCCGUAAACGAUGAGUGCUAGGUGUUGGAGGGUUUCCGCCCUUCAGUGCCGGAGCUAACGCAUUAAGCACUCCGCCUGGGGAGUACGACCGCAAGGUUGAAACUCAAAGGAAUUGACGGGGGCCCGCACAAGCGGUGGAGCAUGUGGUUUAAUUCGAAGCUACGCGAAGAACCUUACCAGGUCUUGACAUCUUGCGCUAACCUAAGAGAUUAGGCGUUCCCUUCGGGGACGCAAUGACAGGUGGUGCAUGGUCGUCGUCAGCUCGUGUCGUGAGAUGUUGGGUUAAGUCCCGCAACGAGCGCAACCCUUGUUACUAGUUGCCAGCAUUCAGUUGGGCACUCUAGUGAGACUGCCGGUGACAAACCGGAGGAAGGUGGGGACGACGUCAGAUCAUCAUGCCCCUUAUGACCUGGGCUACACACGUGCUACAAUGGUCGGUACAACGAGUCGCUAACCCGCGAGGGCAAGCUAAUCUCUUAAAGCCGAUCUCAGUUCGGACUGUAGGCUGCAACUCGCCUACACGAAGUCGGAAUCGCUAGUAAUCGCGGAUCAGCAUGCCGCGGUGAAUACGUUCCCGGGCCUUGUACACACCGACCGUCACACCAUGGAAGUUUGUAACGCCCAAAGUCGGUGGCCUAACCAUUUGGAGGGAGCCGCCUAAGGCGGGACAGAUGACUGGGGUGAAGUCGUAACAAGGUAACC